AUGGCAGCAGAGGUGGUGUGACCACUUUGCUCUCCCUGCUCACUCCCCUUUUUAAUGGACCCAGGAAAGGUAGGACCCUAAGCUGUGCCCAACUGGGCAGAGGGAUCCUCAUCCUGUUGCUGCUGGCUGAGCUCCUCUAUGUUCAGCUGCUUCUCUCUGCUCGCUCAUGACAAACUGAAGUACUUGGUGGAACUGGGAGCUCAAGGCACAGAUCCAUGAAUCACAGAAUGUUAGGGGCUAAAAGGGACCUCAAAAGAUCAUCUUGUCCAACUCCUAGCGAGGAUGCUAGAACGGAAAGAAUAAAAUGUGGAAAAAACACAGUAUGUAGAACAUGGUCUUCUGGACAGCUCUAAAGGUGCAUGAACUUAUGAAACAAGUCUCUGCCCUGCUUCCAGCGACCUUAGUUCCGAAGAACUCUUGAUAAGGAGGAUUUUCACACCUUUGAACACAGCGCCGAGGCGCCUAUCGUGUGAAAACAAGUUAACUGCUUCUUAAACUGGCUUGGCUGAAGCCAGAGAGACGCAGUUGCAAGCUCAGCUUGCGGCUCAGGAGUGAGAGAGUUCUUCAGAAGUUAAUCGGUGCUUUUGUGUCCUGCCGCUUCCUGAGUUCUGCAGGCUCGUUCCCGGGAAGGGUGGCUUAUCAAGAGAGUGCAAGCGCAAAAGCUGGGAAGGUCAACUGGUAACCACAUCAGCGUUCAGACCCGGGAAACUAAUUCAAAGAACGGUAGGCUGCACAGCAAGAUAAUCUCUCAAAGAGCAGCAGCAGGAACAGCCAAGGCAGACAGCUCACCAUAAAGCGUGUCGUAGGUGUUGGCAACCCUUGGGUGGGCUAGACAGUGUACAGGGGAUUUUAUUGUAUUUUUCAUAUGGUUCACAAAUACAAAAGAAUCCUUUCAGAA